rnacentral:misc_RNA from 1 species
CGACUGUGAUCCGCCGGAAAAUCUUCUGCCGGCUAAGUAUGUUGUCAUCUACAUUGAAACCAGUAGUGGGUUCACUUCCUACAGUGUCAGAACCAAAUGGCUCUCAAACAAGAUCAGCACCUUCAUUAGCAAUGUUGAAGUUGGACAAAACUAUCUUUUCUCCUCUUCAGUUGACAGGCAAUGGAAAGGAGUUACCUCGGCAGGAGACAACCGCAACUGCUGUUUCAAGAAGAGAAUUGAUAGGUAUGGCAGCUACAACAUUAGGUGGACUUGCCCUUUUCGCUGCAGAACCUGCUGAGGCAGUUGAAGUAGCUGAUAUCGGGAACUCAAUCAAGGAGUUGUUUGGAUUUCUCAAAGGCAAGCCAAAAACAGGAGCUGACAACGAAAAUAAACCAAAGAGCGAAACUGAUGAGAAGAAGCCAAAAAUAGAAACCCAUGGAAACAAACCAAAGAUUGAAGCUGAUGAAAAGAAGUCAAAAGUUGAUAACCAUGGAAACAAACCAAAGGUUGAAGUUGAUGAAAAGAAGCCAAAAAAUGAAGACGAUAAGAAGGCGGCAUCAACCCCUCAUCACUCAGAGAAGGAAAAAGUGUCAUCUUCUUCUGCUGAUGCACCAGCCCUUCCCAGCAUUUUGAACAACACAGUUACCUAACUUCUCAUUUACAAAUGCUGUUGUGCUCAGAUACAUUUUCAAGAAACUUGACAAUCUUUUCUAAUGCUACAAUUCAUUGUUGCUAAACUCAUGUCUAAAUGAAACCUUAG